rnacentral:rRNA from 1 species
CAUGAACAAACUUAGAAAAGAUGGCUCUGCUAUCACUUAUCGAUGGCCUUGCGGUGCAUUAACUAGUUGGCGAGGUAACGGCUCACCAAGGUGAUGAUGCAUAGCCGACCUGAGAGGGUAAUCGGCCACAUUGGGACUGAGACACGGCCCAAACUCCUACGGGAGGCAGCAGUAGGGAAUCUUCCGCAAUGGACGCAAGUCUGACGGAGCAACGCCGCGUGAGUGAAGAAGGUUUUCGGAUCGUAAAACUCUGUUGUAAGAGAAGAACAAAUUGUAGAGUAACUGCUACAGUCUUGACGGUACCUUACCAGAAAGCCACGGGCUAACUACGUGCCAGCAGCCGCGGUAAAU